rnacentral:lncRNA from 1 species
AUGUGUAAUAUGGUUCAAUGGAUGGGAAUAUGUGAUACUUGUUUUAAUUGGGCUUUAAUGAGGAUUGUGUAACUGAGUCGUGAAAGUAAAAGUCUUGAAGGACCAAUACUAAAAAUUGCGGUUGCCGAUGCGGGGGUCUAUAUGAUCGGGUGGUUCGAGUUUUCCUUAUUAUUAUUAUCAAUUGAUUGAGAGGUUUGAGUCCCCCACAAUAUAUUACAUGAUUUGGUGCUU